rnacentral:rRNA from 1 species
GGUGAAAAGCACCCCGGAAGGGGAGUGAAAGAGAUCCUGAAACCGUGUGCCUACAAAUAGUCAGAGCCCGUUAAUGGGUGAUGGCGUGCCUUUUGUAGAAUGAACCGGCGAGUUACGAUCCCGUGCGAGGUUAAGCUGAAGAGGCGGAGCCGCAGCGAAAGCGAGUCUGAAUAGGGCGUUUAGUACGUGGUCGUAGACCCGAAACCAGGUGAUCUACCCAUGUCCAGGGUGAAGUUCAGGUAACACUGAAUGGAGGCCCGAACCCACGCACGUUGAAAAGUGCGGGGAUGAGGUGUGGGUAGCGGAGAAAUUCCAAUCGAACCUGGAGAUAGCUGGUUCUCCCCGAAAUAGCUUUAGGGCUAGCCUUAAGUGUAAGAGUCUUGGAGGUAGAGCACUGAUUGGACUAGGGGUCCUCAUCGGAUUACCGAAUUCAGUCAAACUCCGAAUGCCAAUGACUUAUCCUUAGGAGUCAGACUGCGAGUGAUAAGAUCCGUAGUCAAAAGGGAAACAGCCCAGACCGCCAGCUAAGGUCCCAAAGUGUGUAUUAAGUGGAAAAGGAUGUGGAGUUGCUUAGACAACUAGGAUGUUGGCUUAGAAGCAGCCACCAUUUAAAGAGUGCGUAAUAGCUCACUAGUCGAGUGACUCUGCGCCGAAAAUGUACCGGGGCUAAAUACACCACCGAAGCUGCGGAUUGAUACCAAUGGUAUCAGUGGUAGGGGAGCGUUCUAAGGACAGUGAAGUCAGACCGGAAGGACUGGUGGAGUGCUUAGAAGUGAGAAUGCCGGUAUGAGUAGCGAAAGACGGGUGAGAAUCCCGUCCACCGAAUGCCUAAGGUUUCCUGAGGAAGGCUCGUCCGCUCAGGGUUAGUCAGGACCUAAGCCGAGGCCGACAGGCGUAGGCGAUGGACAACAGGUUGAUAUUCCUGUACCACCUCUUUAUCGUUUGAGCAAUGGAGGGACGCAGAAGGAUAGAAGAAGCGUGCGAUUGGUUGUGCACGUCCAAGCAGUUAGGCUGAUAAGUAGGCAAAUCCGCUUAUCGUAAAGGCUGAGCUGUGAUGGGGAAGCUCCUUAUGGAGCGAAGUCUUUGAUUCCCCGCUGCCAAGAAAAGCUUCUAGCGAGAUAAAAGGUGCCUGUACCGCAAACCGACACAGGUAGGCGAGGAGAGAAUCCUAAGGUGUGCGAGAGAACUCUGGUUAAGGAACUCGGCAAAAUGACCCCGUAACUUCGGGAGAAGGGGUGCUUUCUUAACGGAAAGCCGCAGUGAAUAGGCCCAAGCGACUGUUUAGCAAAAACACAGCUCUCUGCGAAGCCGUAAGGCGAAGUAUAGGGGGUGACACCUGCCCGGUGCUGGAAGGUUAAGGAGAGGGGUUAGCGUAAGCGAAGCUCUGAACUGAAGCCCCAGUAAACGGCGGCCGUAACUAUAACGGUCCUAAGGUAGCGAAAUUCCUUGUCGGGUAAGUUCCGACCCGCACGAAAGGUGUAACGAUUUGGGCACUGUCUCAACCAGAGACUCGGUGAAAUUAUAGUACCUGUGAAGAUGCAGGUUACCCGCGACAGGACGGAAAGACCCCGUGGAGCUUUACUGUAGCCUGAUAUUGAAUUUUGGUACAGUUUGUACAGGAUAGGCGGGAGCCAUUGAAACCGGAGCGCUAGCUUCGGUGGAGGCGCUGGUGGGAUACCGCCCUGACUGUAUUGAAAUUCUAACCUACGGGUCUUAUCGACCCGGGAGACAGUGUCAGGUGGGCAGUUUGACUGGGGCGGUCGCCUCCUAAAGUGUAACGGAGGCGCCCAAAGGUUCCCUCAGAAUGGUUGGAAAUCAUUCGUAGAGUGCAAAGGCAUAAGGGAGCUUGACUGCGAGACCUACAAGUCGAGCAGGGACGAAAGUCGGGCUUAGUGAUCCGGUGGUUCCGCAUGGAAGGGCCAUCGCUCAACGGAUAAAAGCUACCCCGGGGAUAACAGGCUUAUCUCCCCCAAGAGUCCACAUCGACGGGGAGGUUUGGCACCUCGAUGUCGGCUCAUCGCAUCCUGGGGCUGUAGUCGGUCCCAAGGGUUGGGCUGUUCGCCCAUUAAAGCGGUACGCGAGCUGGGUUCAGAACGUCGUGAGACAGUUCGGUCCCUAUCCGUCGUGGGCGUAGGAAAUUUGAGAGGAGCUGUCCUUAGUACGAGAGGACCGGGAUGGACGCACCGCUGGUGUACCAGUUGUUCUGCCAAGGGCAUAGCUGGGUAGCUAUGUGCGGAAGGGAUAAGUGCUGAAAGCAUCUAAGCAUGAAGCCCCCCUCAAGAUGAGAUUUCCCAUAGCGUAAGCUAGUAAGAUCCCUGAAAGAUGAUCAGGUUGAUAGGUUCGAGGUGGAAGCAUGGUGACAUGUGGAGCUGACGAAUACUAAUAGAUCGAGGACUUAACCAU